rnacentral:rRNA from 1 species
UACAGAGGGGGCAAGCGUUGUUCGGAAUUACUGGGCGUAAAGGGCGCGUAGGCGGCCUGCUAAGUCGAACGUGAAAUCCCCGGGCUUAACCCGGGAACUGCGUCCGAUACUGGUGGGCUUGAAUCCGGGAGAGGGAUGUGGAAUUCCAGGUGUAGCGGUGAAAUGCGCAGAUAUCAGGAGGAACACCAAUGGCGAAGGCAGCUGCGCUGGGACGUGACUGACGCUGGAGAACGCGGAAAGCGUGGGGAGCAAACAGG